AUGUAAUGGCGUUGUAAAACUGUUUUUAAACCCCUGGGCCCUGAACCAGCUGAGUAUCCAACUCGAAGCUCACAGUUCACACACCAGUACACCACCCGGCAAAACCAAGGAGAACGAAAAGGUUGCUGUAUUCUGCGCUCCAGCCGAGUAGAGGCAGCUGGUGAAACUCGCCAUGCUUAUUCUACUGGCAUUGCUGCUCCUAUGCUAUGGAGCUGGAAACAUCUAUUGCGUUCAUGAUAACAACACGGAUCUGCACUCACUGCUGGAUUUCAAAAAGGGCGUCACCAGCGAUCCUAAUGGGGCCUUAAGCUCUUGGAACUCGGACACCCACUAUUGUAGGUGGAAGUAUGUCACAUGCACCCAGACACGACCAUGGCGCGUCUCAGGGCUCAACCUUACGGGCCAAAGUUUAGAAGGCCAAAUCAGCUCUUCUCUUGCAAACCUGACCUUUCUUAGUGUGGUUGAACUGUCCGUCAACGGCUUCUUUGGGGAGUUACCUCCUCUUAAUGGUCUCCAGCAACUAGAAACUCUUUAUCUGAGAAGGAACUCACUUGAGGGAAAUAUUCCUGAUGCACUUACAAAUUGUUCCAAACUAAAGAAUCUGGACCUCUCUCACAACAAGCUCUCUGGUACCAUUCCUCCUAAAAUAAGCUCCCUUUCCAAUCUAGGAGUUUUGAAUCUUGGCCAUAAUAAUCUCACCGGGAUCUUCCCUCCAACCUUUUCAAACCUCACCAGCUUGACCUUUUGCAACAUUGUAGCAAAUCAACUUGAAGGAAGCAUUCCCCAUGGAAUUUGGCAAUCGUCCAAUAUGACGGUUUUGAAUCUCGGUAAUAAUAACCUUUCAGGUGAAAUCCCACAAUCGAUUAAUAUGUCUCGUCUCCAAAGUCUAGGUUUGGAGUUAAAUAAUCUAAGCAAUGUUUUGCCAUCUAACAUUGGGGAUGCCCUCCCUAGUCUCCAACUUCUAGCGUUGGAUGGCAACACGUUCGUAGGUCAAAUCCCAGCUUCCGUAGGCAAUGCUUCAGGGCUGCAGCUGAUAGACUUAUCAGCAAAUAGUUUCACAGGCCUAGUUCCUGCUUCUUUGGGACAGCUUUCUAGCCUAAACAAGCUAAACCUUGAAACGAACAAGCUUGAAGCAGAGGAUAGGCAAAGCUGGGAAUUCUUACAUGCUUUGAGAAACUGUGGUUCUCUAAUCGUGCUCUCACUCCAUGGUAAUCGAUUGAAGGGAGAUAUACCAGAUUCGGUUGGUACCUUAUCCACCACCCUUGAAAAAUUGUCAUUCGGCAGAAACGAAUUAACAGGGAUAGUUCCCCCUACCAUAGGGAACCUUCAUAACCUGAUUCUACUGGGACUAGAAGAGAACAAUUUGAGUGGUGCAGUUGAAGAAUGGAUUGGGAAGCUAAGAAACCUACAAGGUCUAUUUCUCAGUGGUAACAACUUUACCGGGCCAAUUCCAUCCUACAUUGGCAACUUUACUCAGCUGACAUAUCUCUAUCUAGAUAGAAAUGAAUUCGAAGGCUUCAUGCCUCUCAGUAUUGAAAACCUUGUACAGCUCUCAGAGCUGAACCUUGCCGACAAUAACUUCCAGGGUAACAUAACUAUAUGGGUUGGAAAUCUUAAACAACUCAUUCGACUAGACCUUUCAUCAAACAAGUUUACUGGGGAAAUUCCUUAGUUAUGGUCUGGGGCAAUUCCAAAACUUAGGAACAAUAGAAAUGGACCAAAAUUUUCUCAUAGGAGACAUUCCGACGUCAAUAGGCGACAUAAAGGGCUUGAUCUUACUCAACCUUUCCCAUAAUAAUUUGUCGGGGAGCAUCCCUAUAACCCUCAAUUAUCUAUCAAUCCUCAACAAGCUAGAUCUUUCAUACAAUAAUCUCCAAGGAGAAUUACCACAAAAUGGAGUGUUAGCAGAUCCUACCGUUGUUUCACUCUAUGGAAAUCGGGGACUCUGCGGAGGAGCUAUCAUUCUCCAUAUGCCCUCAUGCCCAACUGUUUCUCAUAGAAUUGGAAAACAAUAUUACUUGGUCAGAGUGUUGAUUCCCAUAUUUGGCUUCAUGUCACUCCUAUUGUUGAUCUACCUUUUACUCCUUGUGAAGAAGACCCCCCAAAAAAAUAUAUCACUGACUUCUUUUGGCCAGGAUUUUCUUAAAGUUUCUUACAAUGAUCUAGAUCAAGCCACAAGGAACUUCUCAGAAUCUAACCUUGUUGGGAGAGGAAGCUUUGGUUCAGUCUAUAGAGGAAAGUUAAAGGAAGACAAAAUGGAGGUGGUCGUGAAGGUUUUCAACCUUGAGAUGCAAGGUGUAGAGAGAAGGUUCAUGUCAGAAUGUGAAGUACUGAGAAGCAUUCAGCAUCGGAAUCUUCUCCCCAUCAUAACUGCAUGCUCGUCGAUCAAUAACGGUGAUGAUUUCAAAGCUUUAGUUUAUGAGUACAUGCCUAACGGGAAUCUGGACACAUGGUUGCAUCCCAAUGGAGAGGGUAAGGCUCUAAAUAAGCGUCUAGGCCUAACCCAAAGAAUAAGCAUAGCCGUAAACAUAGCUGAUGCAUUGGACUAUUUGCAUCAUGACUGUGGAAGGCCCACUGUUUAUUGUGACUUGAAGCCUAGUAACAUCCUUCUAGAUGUUUAUAUGACCGUUCUUUUGGGAGAUUUCGGUAUUGCAAGGUUUUAUGCUGCUUCUUCGUGACAUCAACAUGCUCAAUCCGUACAAUCAGUUUGAAAGGUACUAUAGGAUAUAUUCCUCCAGAGUACGCGGGCGGAGGCCAUGCAUCAACUUCUGGGGAUGUGUAUAGUUUUGGAAUAGUGCUUUUGGAGAUGCUGACGGGUAAUAGCGGGCGGAGGCCAUGCAUCAACUUCUGGGGAUGUGUAUAGUUUUGGAAUAGUGCUUUUGGAGAUGCUGACGGGAAAAAGACCAACACAUCCUAUGUUCAAGGAUGGACUUGACAUCGUCAACUUCGUGGAGAGCAGCUUUCCGGAACAAAUGUUACAAGUCAUUGAUCCUCAUCUCAUAGAUGAAUGCAAGGACUUUUCUCAACAAACGAUGGUACCAGAAAAUGUGUUCACCCAAUGCGUGGCGUCUCUGUUGCAGGUCGCGCUUUCUUGUACCCACGCAUUGCCAACAGAACGAAUGAACAUGAGACAAAUAGCCACCAAGAUGCAUGCAAUUAAGACGUCAUGUCUUGUACGGAAAUCUAAGAGUCUAUUUGAUAGAGCUUUAACUUUAAAAAAAUUUGAAGUUAGAUUUUUUAGUUCUAAAAAUUUGUGGAACUAACUAUGGGUACACUAGAGGUGUUUGUAUGAGCUAUCUUGUUUUUAUUUUAAACUAAAAAUAUAUGUUUAAACUACUUUAUUUUAGUAUACAAACUAUAUAUCUAAUGUGGAGCUGAGAGCUAGAGCCCUGCGAAACAGAGCCUAAGUAUGCUAGCUAGAGCGACUUGUUUAACUGGAACUGUGGAGCUGCGGCCCUGGGAGUUAGCGAUGGGUAUGUAGGAUUCUUUAUGCUCUGAUCCCCGAGAACGUUUUGAAGUCUCAAUCCAUUAUGUUGUUCUUUUUUUUUAAAUAAUUAGAGUACAAAUGUACAACAAGACUUUUUGGUGAAUAACAAAAUUACCUAAUAUUUGUAUAUGAUAUGGAUCCUUCUAUAUCUGUUCUGGAAAUACAGAGGACCAGAUGACCACAUGACUAGAGGACCACUAGCUACAUGUGAGGUGUUGAGAAGCAUUUAUCAUCAGAACCUUCUCCUAUCCUAACUGCAUGUUCAGCUAUAGACAAUAGAGGUAAUGAUUUCAAAGCUCUAUGUUUCCCGAAUGGAAACUUGUGUCGAAGUUUAUAAACUUGAAAAGUAAUAAAUGCGGUCGUACCAGUAUACGCAAGGUAUACGAAGUAAAGGAGAACGAUGUAACGGGAACAUGACCUUUAUUCAUUUAUUAUCGAAUUCAUAAAGUACAUGAUUUCUCAGAUUAUAACA